AUGCGGUUGGGGGGGUCCCUGAGCAGACGUCCCGACAGCGAGCAAUUGUGGAAGUAAGUCUUGUGCACGCGGAUGAAGAAGUCGUCCACCAGCAGGUUGGGCCAGAAGCAGUCCAUCUUGAGCGCCACCAGAAAGGCACUCGUGGAACUUUGAGCCGACUUUGUACUUCGAUCGAGAAAGCGGCCUUGGUGUACAUCGGGGCCAAAAGAAGAGCGAUGCCAUCUUUGCCGGAGGGAUUCUCACAGGGCGCCAAAGAGGUUGUGAACAUUUGCGUGACAAGUGACCAAAGACUGCGGGACCGAGGUGACUUCUCGCACAGCUCACAAAAAGAGCGUCCGUGGUCACCCAGAUGGACUCUGGCGAUAACAAGUUCUUACAAAAGCUCAAUUCGAGGGCGUACUUUGCCAGCUCGUGUUAGAAGACGG